UUACGGCAAUAUCACGUUGAAACACCGGUUCGCAUAAGAUCAUUGAAGUUAAGCAACGUCGAGCCAAGUCAUUACCUAGAUGGGUGACCGCGUGG